rnacentral:misc_RNA from 1 species
GAUGAAGAACGUAGCGAAAUGCGAUACGUAAUGUGAAUUGCAGAAUUCAGUGAAUCAUCGAAUCUUUGAACGCAUAUUGCGCUCUCUGGUAUUCCGGAGAGCAUGCUUGUUUGAGUAUCAGUAAACACCUCAACUUCCAUAUCUUUUUUGAAAUGGGAGUUGGACUUGAGUGAUCCCAACGCUUUUCCUCACCGAAAAGUGGCGGGUUACUUGAAAUGCAGGGGCAGCUGGACUUUUCUCUGAGCUAUAAGCAUAUCUAUUUAGUCUGCCUAAAAAACAGAUUAUUACCUUUGCUGCAGCUAACAUAAAGGAGAUUAGUUCUUGUGCUGACUGAUGCAGGAUUCACAAAGACGGCUUCGGCCGUCUUUGUAAACUCGAUCUCAAAUCAAGUAAGACUACCCGCUGAACUUAAGCAUAUCAAUAAGCGGAGGA